rnacentral:lncRNA from 1 species
GGGUCUCAUCUUAAUUACCAUGCGGACUGCUUACUGUCUUAUUCUUCAUGCUCAUUAACUGCUUUUCGCCAAUCCCAGGGGACUGAGGAAGACCCGGAAACUCCAGGGUCACGUGAGCUGUGGCCAUGUGAGCAUAGGAACCCAGUAACCCGUGGCCGCUGGCAGCUACAGGUGGUGCCUGACAAGAGGCCUGAAAGCAGAAAGGACGACUGGGGGUACACUGUCUUGGUGGGGCUCCAUGGAAAACAGAAGAAGAUGUAUCUUGCAUGAAUGCUGCAGGAGCACACUAGCUGCCAGAAUGAUUCCUGUGACAUUCUGACCCAUAGGCUUGCUGAGUGCUCUGACGAUGGUGACAGGAAAGCUGUAUUGGUAGCUGAUGUCAAUUUGAUAGGAACUCAAAGAAGACAAGCACUGUGCUUCUUCUAAGCCCUGAACAGAAGUGGGUUUUCAUCGUACCUUGUCCUAACUUGACCCACAUCCAUGAUGAUUUUUGUUGAUUUCGUGGGAUUGAGAAGCACUGUAGGAAAGAAACACAGCUCUGCAAGGGAAGUCAUGGAGCACAGGAGGCCCAGAGUCUUCAAAGCCAAGAGAAGCCCGUCCGGUAAAGCGGUGAAGCGGUGAAGGCGAGGCCUGAUGGAGCAUGCCUUUAAUCCAUCGUGGGGAAGGCAGAAGCAGGUGAAGUCCUUCCUUGGUAAGGGACAAGCCAAGGACAGCCAGCCUGUGCUCAGAGGUAGCUGGAACUAAAAUGCUACCCUUCAAGGGACUACAAAUGAAACAUGGCAUCCCUAAAUUUGCCUCUUUGCAUGAGGAUUAGUUUUAUUCAGGAAAACAGAAACAGCAGAAGCUCAGGGAACAAGAAUGUUUACUGCUGCUCUUUCUUAAAGGAAAUUUGAGUGAGCUCCUAUGGUUUGGAUUCCUGGCCCUGGUGGUAAAGGCUUGCUCUCUACACCCACCCUGAAAGCAAGCACUAUUGGGAGGUGCAGGACUUGGUGGGAGGUCCUGGGCUUUCCUUUGAAGGGGAGUUAUUGUCUUAUUUUGCUUUGGGACCAUGCGGUGACUUGUAUCACAGUGUGCUGUGAACAUCUAGGGGCAGGAGUUGGUGUGCUAGUGGUGUAACCCCCGAAUCUCUGCGGAUAUUUGUUUCUUAACACCCCCACCCCACCCCACCCCACCAGAAGCUCCCAUCCUCACUCCAGCCCGCAGCAAGCAUGAUAUGCAGACAGCUGGUUUCUGUGCUGUGUCCUCCUGCAGCAAGCCCUGGGCUCCCUCCCCCUCCUUGGUCCCUCCCCCAGUGUUAGAAUGGCACUGCCCAUAAAACUCCCCCUUAAUGGAGAUAUCCUGAGAAGAUAGCUCAAGACAUCCUCCCUGCCUCUGCAUCUCCAAAAACCAGCACUCUUCCUGAUAAGCAGUGAACCCUCCAGGUGUCCUUGAGACCUUAAAGAAAUAACAAACUCAAGGAAGAUUAGGGUCCAGUGUUUAAGUCAUGGAGAAAAGGUAAUCAGAGGUCACAGACAGUUAAGACCAGCCAUAAAAUUAGUCCCUGAACAGACACCCAUUAUCCCCCCUCCUGGCUUCAGUUCCAUCUCACCAAAUGAUUACAGUCCUCCCCUCCCCUUUUCUGUGAACAUUCAGGGGACUCCUAACUAUACUGUAUAUAAACCCAGCGUUUUUCAGACUCAGGGUCACUUGCCAGCAUUCACCGGAGGGUGCCAGGCUGGUGAUCAGGGUUCGAACUUGAAACAAUAAAAGACUCUUUUGUGAGUUGCA